UACGUAGGAGGCAAGCGUUGUCCGGAAUUACUGGGUGUAAAGCGCGUGUAGGUGGUGGGCCAAGUCUGUGGUGAAAUCGCCCGGCUCAACUGGGCGGGUCCGUGGAAACUGGUCGACUGGAGGACGGUAGAGGCGAGUGGAAUUCCCGGUGUAGCGGUGAAAUGCGUAGAGAUUGGGAAGAACAUCGGUGGCGAAGGCGCUCUGCUGGACCAUAACUGACACUCACAGGACGAAAGCUAGGGGAGCGAAUGGGAUUAGGA
rnacentral:rRNA from 1 species